GACGAACGCUGGCGGCGUGCCUAACACAUGCAAGUUGAGCGACGAACCAGGGCUUGCCCUGGGGCAAAGCAGCGAACGGGUGAGUAACACGUGGGUAACCUACCCCGAUAACCGGGACAACCCGAGGAAACUCGGGCUAAUACCGGAUGUGCUCACUGGACUUCGGUUCAGUGCGUAAAGGAAGCUUCGGCCUCCGUAUCGGGAGGGGCCCGCGGCCCAUUAGUUUGUUGGUGAGGUAACGGCUCACCAAGACCGCGAUGGGUAGCUGGUCUGAGAGGACGAUCAGCCACACGGGGACUGAGACACGGCCCAGACUCCUACGGGAGGCAGCAGUGGGGAAUCUUGCGCAAUGCGCGAAAGCGUGACGCAGCAACGCCGCGUGGGGGAAGAAGGCCUUCGGGUUGUAAACCCCUUUCAGGAGGGACGAAGGUUCGGCGGUGAAUAGCCGUCCGGACUGACGGUACCUCCACAAGAAGCCCCGGCUAACUACG
rnacentral:rRNA from 1 species